UAGCUAUGAUGAUAUUUGUGUCAAAUGUGGUAAUGGGUUUAUCACAAUAAUGUCCCCUUUGGUGGCUAAAACUGGCACAUCUGAGCUU
rnacentral:snoRNA from 1 species